CCUACGGGAGGCUGCAGUGAGGAAUAUUGGUCAAUGGGCGAAAGUCUGAACCAGCCAUGCCGCGUGCAGGAAGACGGCUCUAUGAGUUGUAAACUGCUUUUGUACAAGGGUAAACCUGAAUACGUGUAUUCAGAUGAAAAUACUGUACAAAUAAGGAUCGGCUAACUCCGUGCCAGCAGCCGCGGUAAUACGGAGGAUCCAAGCGUUAUCCGGAUUUAUUGGGGUUAAAGGGUUCGGAGGCGGAUUGAUAAGUUAGAGGUGAAAUGUCCGAGCUUAACUCGGGAACUGCCGUUAAUACGGUUGAUCUAGAGAGUAGAUGCGGUAGGCGGAAUGUAUGGUGUAGCGGUGAAAUGCUUAGAGAUCAUACAGAACACCGAUUGCGAAGGCAGCGUACCAAUCUAUAUCUGACGUUGAGGCACGAAAGCGUGGGGAGCAAACAGGAUUAGAUACCCGAGUAGUC
rnacentral:rRNA from 1 species